UUAACUAUUACAUAGUACUUCAGACAAUACAAAAUUUCAGAGUUUAGGGUCCUCUGGCAGGCACUGACCAGCUGAAGCCGGUGGUCAAACGACGGGCCUACCAAAGCAACAAAGGUAUUGUAAACAAAGGGUGGAGAUCUACCCCAAGGGGCAAGUUCUCUGUAAUGAUCCUUCCGCAGGUUCACCUACGGAAA
rnacentral:misc_RNA from 1 species